GACAGAGGGUGCAAACGUUGUUCGGAAUUACUGGGCGUAAAGCGCGUGUAGGCUGCUUCGCAAGUCGGAUGUGAAAGCCCUGGGCUCAACCCAGGAAGUGCAUUCGAAACUGCAGAGCUGGAGUCCUGGAGAGGAAGGCGGAAUUCUCGGUGUAGAGGUGAAAUUCGUAGAUAUGACAUAGAACACCAAUUGCGAAGGCAGCUCACUACACGCAUAUUGACUCUGAGGCACGAAAGCGUGGGGAGCAAACAGG
rnacentral:rRNA from 1 species